rnacentral:rRNA from 2 species
GGCGGUCAUAGCGACAGGGAAACGCCCGGUCCCAUCCCGAACCCGGAAGCUAAGCCUGUCAGCGCCGAUGAUACUG